AAAACAACAACUUAUAGCAAAGAAAAAAAGAAAAGAUAAAACUGGCUGUUUAUUCUCCCACCACCUUUUCUCUCUCUUUUUUCUCUUUUCACUCCUUUUUGGUUAGAAACUCUAACGUGUCUAUUAU
rnacentral:ribozyme from 1 species